GGUCCUGGGCUCUAAAGAGGAGUGAGAGAUGGUCCUGGGCUGUAGAGAGGGGUUACCUGCAAGGCACAGUGCCCUCAGGUGCUGCUCUCCUUUAUCGGGUCCCCCAGCCGGGCUGAGGAUUGUGUCUGGGGUCGCUUUGCUUUGAUGUGCAUCGGUGUAGUGUUGUGUGCAGGUGGUUCUUGGGACUUAUUUUUAAUGUUUGUCAAGAGUUCUGUAAUUUCAGGCCACUUCCAAAGGUAAAAAGGUUGUGAAUAGCCUGUAGGCAGGUUAACGUCCUUUCUUCUAGGACCUUUGUGUCAUGCUUCAAGUGUGAGUUUUUAAGGGAGAGAAAGAUGCCUCUCUUAGCCUUCUUUCUCUUCUGUACUUCCUGCUUGAGAUUUGCUGUUGGCUUUAUGUGAUAAGGUGUAAUUUGCCACUAUAGCUUCAAAUAAUCUAUAGAGGACAAGGGUGCUGUCCGAGCAACUCACACAACAUCUGACUCCAGAUAGAGAUCUCUCUUACAACUUAAAGAGAAAAUAAGUCUGCUACACAAUUAAUAACUGGAAGAGCUAUUCAUAACUCAAAUAGAGUGUUUAGGGAAGUCAGUUCCUUGUUUUAAAGAUUAUGAAAUGCUGUCUGUCAAGGACCCGUAUUUGAAGGGUCCCAGAUUGUUAAAAUCCUUCAAACAUGACAUUGUCUGUAAUCCAUGUCUGCACAAACUUUGGAUAUUGAGCAUUUGUGCCAAAAAGGGCCUUUGAAUUAUUACAAUCUCUUACAACGAUCAAGUCAUUUAGUGUUUUAAGUAUUUCAUAAUACCCGGGAAGCUUGUAACAUUUAAACUUGCUUUAUACAGUUUAGGAAAGUGAUAAUAAAUAAUUUCUGCUAGAGCUGAAGUUUUUUAUUACUUGAUAAAAUGAUUUGAUCUGAUAAACAUUAUCUGCUUUGUACUGUAGCUUAGUUCUGUGAUAUCUGGACCUAAGACAAGGCAUACUUAAGGAAAUUUAAAUGUAUUAAGCUAAUAGGUCUUGAGUAUCAUUCAUUACCCUGAAUGUUCUGGGUUUUAUAUGUUGAUAACUUAAUUUAUAUUUUACCUGGUUAGUUUGUAAUGCUAUACUUCCUUAUUUGGCUAAUUUGAAUCGGCUCUGCUCUUAUGAUUUCUUCUUUCUAUUCUUUUGUUUAGAGCUCGCACUUAACAUUUCUGCAUGUCUUCCAGAUGAUGCAUCCAUACGUUUUUGUUUCCACCACCCUCAGUAAUGUUUUGUCCUAUAACAGAUGAUGAAGCUUAGGAUCUGAUUCUUUGCAAAAUCUUCCACUGGAUGUAUCUUCUUCCUUGCCCUCACUUUGGCUUUUCUACGCUGUCUGUUCUUCUGGUCCUGCCCAUGUUACUUUCCAGAAGAACAGUGAAAAGACUGAAGUUAGAAAGUUCUCAUUUGCUAGAAAAUUUGUGAGAGCAGCAUAAAAAGCCUACCUUUGCCUAUGUGUUUUUUGAAAUAUCCGUUGAAAAGAUCAUGAGAAUUGUUUCCUGUUGGCUACAGCGGGGAGGUUUAUAUUUAUAAUUACUUAUAUUCCUUCCUGAGCUGCAGCACUAUAUUGUGAAUAAAAGCUUGCUCUUAGCUUCAUCUUUUCUUCCGCAUCCAUUUUCUUCCUUGUCCUCCCUGAUUAUUUUUUAAGAGCAAAACACGGUGAGGUGAGAGGUGAUAAACAUACUGAUAUAUUGGCAAAUCCUAGUGGCUCCUCUAGUAAGAUCAUCUGCUAAUUCUUGUAACGUGUGCUCACUGGAUUCAUAUUCUGACUGUGCUUCAUUCUUACCUGUCUUACCCUAUUUGAAGUUUGUGGACCUAAGGUACAGUAGGCUUUGCAACGUGUCCUGUUUCCCGGCAGUCUGCCUAAAGCAAAUACCUCCAGCUGUGCUCUCAGUUGGCAGACACCUAGCACAAGCCACUUCCCCAGUAAGCUAUUUUUUUCCCUUGUGCAGAAGGUUUCUUUUAUUGCAAUGGUUGUGUGGCUGACUGUCUCUAAGCUCUUAUUGAAUAAGGUUAGUGCACAGCAAAUGCUUCCUAAAUGACUUUAGGGGAAUUGGUGUUCUGAGUUAACCUUUUUUUGACGUUUUCUUGGCUUAAUAUUUUCAAAGCUUUUCCCUAAUUUUCCUGUAGCUUUGUGCCUGAACUUCAGCUACACUUUUGCCUAAAGUCUUGAUGGUUAAAGUUUUGUUCUACAUUGCAGCUGCUGUUAGUAUCGUUACCUAGAAACAUAACUCUUAUAUGCUGACAAUAUAUAUGAUGGUGGUAGUAAUACGAAUGCCUGUUUAAAAAGAAAAUUACGUGAUGAAUCUCUUUCAUCUUGAAUUGUUCUGGAAUAUUUCCCACUGUUGUACUAUUGCUGAGCUCAGGGAAAUGCCAGUGUAGUUCUUGGAAGUGCUGCAUCAGUUUCUUUAAAAUAAAAAAAAAAGGGGGGGGGGUAUUAACUCCUUCAGUAAAAAAAAUAAAAUUCUUUUAGAUGCUAGUAGAGUACUGGGUAGCAGUGCUUGUGUACCCCAAAGAGAGGAGCAUUUACCAGCUGCCAGUAGUUUCUAUCUUUAGAUAUACGUUAAGCCCAUAAUGUAUUGUCCGGGUUGUGCGACUUGCUUUUAUGCUCUUCGAUUUUGAUUCUAGGGUUUCCAAGGAGCGUUCCCUUAGCUGAUGGUAUUUGCAUGCGUAUGACACGCAGCUUGAAAUGUAGCAUUGAGCUUUUUGAAACCCAGAAAUGUUGCAGCUAUAUUUAUCCUUUAAGAAGGAAUAGAAACUCGGCUGUGUUUACCAUGAAGCGUACAGGACUUACUGACAAUAUGCUUGAACGACUGUUUGCAUUUUCCAUUGCUUCAUAUGCGGUCAUUUCGUGUUGCACCUUGAUAUUGCUGGAGCAGCAGAAAAUGG